UCCCUGGAGGACUAGUGGUUAGGCCUCGGUACUCUCGCCGCCACAGCCCGGGUUCAGGUCCCGGCCAGGGAA